GACGCCGCCUGGGGCGGUUCGGACAGCCGGCUCGUCCUCAGCGGGCAGCUCGCGCCCGACACGUUCGGCGCGCGUGUGGCGCCG
rnacentral:tRNA from 1 species